CACCACCUCUAAAUACAAUUAAGCCUACUGGGGAGUAACGGGCCGGCCAAUGCCCAUCGCCCAAAACGCUCAUGGGCACCUUGCUUCAGGCAAUGUUUUGGGUGAUUCGACGCCCUCUCGAGGCCAGAGAAUGGGUUACAGGCGUUUUGACUAAACAAGGCCACCUGAAUGACAACGUCAGAAAUGGUAAGCCCACCGUUUUAUAGGAAUAAUAUGUUAAUUUCAAAGCCUAAUUAUUAAUAUAAAAGGGAGAAAUGGUUUGGUAAGAGUGCUUUCGGACAGCCCUUGGAUGAGGCCUAAAGGGUGAAAACAGGAUAAUCAAAUAAGAAUGCAGGCUCGACUUGUGAGUCGCCUGCUAAAUAAUGUCCCUUUCACUUUGCAUAUUACACAGUGAAAAUAAAAGGGGUCUUAAGAGCACUUCAGUCCCACAAUGUAGGAUUUACGCUUGUACGCAAAGUUGUAAAUGGCCCACAGUGACAUAAUGCUGACAUACAUUCGACCAAAGUACAUCUAUUCUCUUACAAGCAAGAAAAGUAAAGCGAAGUUUUCCUGCUUGAAACAAACAAGUGAACAAUAAACAAAACAGUUUACCCUUCUGGACAGAAUGCCAAAGCAAAGAACAUCCAACAGUGAGCCACUGAGAACUGUACAUUUUUACUCAUCUUUAAAGACAGAUGCACACAACUAUUCAUGGGCUUUAUAAAUAAAGAUACUAAACAGAAAAAAAAAUUUGGGUUAUUUCUCUGUUCAUAAGUCCCAGCAAUAAAAUAAUUCAAAAACACUAAAGUGCACACCUAUAGGCCAUUACAGGUAUGACAAGGGGCAGCCAAAGCUGCAUCUACAUUUACAGACCCAGAAAAUGAUUCUUGCUUUUAGAAAAUUGUGCAAUUUAAAAACUAGUCAGUUUUGCUUGUGCCAUAAUACAACGGCACUUGUCUCUGCCAUUAGGUAAGUGACUGCUAGGCCCGGACAGCAGAGUAGGCGCUCGACAAUCACAGUUUGUAAGAGUCAUACAACAUUGAUUCCACCUCCAGAAAACGUGAGGGUCCUCUUGUUGUAGAAGGAAGAGCCACUGGGAUUCGGUUGACUGCCUUUAACCAGAGAGGUUUUCAGUUCCAUCUCACAAGCGACGAUAGCUGCAUUCAAUUCCACUUGAGCGCGAUGAACUACAUAAAACAUGAGGCCUAUGCUGAUAACAAUCUGUAAACAAAAGACAAAAUAUCCACUAACACUUUGUUCUGCAAUGACAUCUUCCAUCGUCCGUAGUGGGUUCCCAAGU
rnacentral:lncRNA from 1 species